GAGGGUAUAGCUCAAGUGGUAGAGCAUAUGCUUAGCAUGCAGGAGAUCCUGGGCUCAAUCCCCAGUACCUUCU
rnacentral:tRNA from 1 species